rnacentral:rRNA from 1 species
AUUGAACGCUGGCGGCGUGCCUAAUACAUGCAAGUCGAACGCAGUGGGGACGGGUGAGUAACACGUGGUUAACCUCCCAUCAGAGGGGAUAACAAUUGGAAACAGGUGCUAAACCGAUACUGAUGGAUGGACCCGCGGUGCAUUAGCUAGUUGGUGAGGUAACUGCUCACCCAGGCCACGAUGCAUAGCCGACCUGAGAGUGGGAUCGGCCACACGGGGACUGAGAAACGGCCCAGACUCCUACGGGAGGCAGAAGUAGGGAAUCUUCGGAAAUGGACGAAAGUCUGACCGAGCAAGGCCGGGUGAGUGAAGAAGGUUUUCGGAUCGUAAAACUCUGUUGUUAGAGAAGCGGUAUCUAACCAGAAAGCCACGGCUAACUACGUGCCAGCCGCCGCGGUAAUAC